UCUCCCCUCUCCCCCAACUCCUUCUCCACCUCCGGCCGCCGCCACGGCCAGGCCGGCGUGGCGGUGAGCCAUCCAUUCAACAGCACCACCAUCGCCUCCUGCCACCACUCCACCACGCACCACCAGCAGCACCAUCCAUCGUCCACACGCCUCCACCAGCGCCGCCACCAGCGCCCACCUCGCGCACCCCUCCUUCUUCCUCUCGACCUCCUGCUGCUGCCUUCUCUUCUUCCACGCAACGUGCUGCUACUCCUUCUUCCUAUGCGCCCCUGCCGCUCUUCUUGUUGAAGCCCUUUCCCCUCACCACGCUGCUGUUCCUUCUUCUUCCCCUUGCUGUUACUAUUUCUCUUCUUCCCUCACCUCUAGCUGCUGCUCCUAGUUCUUCUCUGAACCCAAACUGCUGUUGCUUCUCUCCUCUCUUACUUCUUGCAAAUUUCUGAAAACUGCUAGGUGAACCUUGUGUACUGUUCUGAACAAUUAAUUUGUGCCUUGAGAUGCUUAUGUAAUAUUCAGAUUUGAAGUGUACUUGCAACCUGCUGUUUGCUCUGUUUAAGUACUUGUACAAUAUAGUGUAUGUGUUCUGAGAUCUGACUAGUUGAUGCUUUGUUACUUUGAGAGAUACUUGAUCUAAUAUAUUUUGGUUCUGUCAAUUAGUAUUCUGCUAGUAUAUGUGUGUGUGUGUGUGUGUGUGUAAUUCAUCAAAAAUAUUGUUGUGUGCUGAUGAUUAGUGUCCAGUUUACUGUUCUUGUGAUAUAUACACAUAUGUAUGUGUUAUGUUCAUGUCCUUUUUACUUCUCUUGUCAUUGAUGUUAGCUUGUGUUAGUAUCUUAAUUUCUCAAGAAUUACAAAAGUACCAAAAAGAAAGUUAGUAAAAUCUAUAUCUACCUUUGCUUAUCCGCAUUUUCAUUGGCGACAAUCUUGAUAGUUUAGGUUUUAUUUCUGCAUUCAUAAGCUGAACUGUGUCACCUAGCUUUAGCCAAGCGUUGUUGCCAUCACCUAGUCCUUGUGGAGAACACGACAUCCGUAGUUUGGGAAAAUUGUUCCACUACAUCUACAAAUGAUCAUUUUGGCACCGUUGCCGGGGACUAGCAUCGAGCGAUUGUGUGAAGCUAUAGACUAGGCUUAGUAUAGUUUUUGUUUAAAUUUCCAGUCAAAUUUAUUUCUGUGUUUAUUUUAUCUUUUUAUUUUUUGUUGCUUCGGCUUAUUAGGGUACUAACCCUCUCACCAGUCUUUGAUGUUUGUGAGCAUGUGUAGGAUAUCUUACUAUUUGUAGGCUCAUUGACAGUUGCACUUGAACAUAUGGCUUUAGUACGUGAUCUUUGGUUGCCAAGUAGUUUGGACACGAUGACAGGGCCAAUUUGGCCAUCUAUUGAGGCCGAAAAUUUUGAGUUGAGGCCUGGACUUAUUGCUGUUGUCUUGCAGAAUCAGUUUAGAGGAUUACCCAAUGAAGACCCUCAUGAGCACAUUAGUAAUGUUCUGGAGUAUGCCAAUAUAGUCCAGUACCAUGGCGUUUCCGAAGAUGCUAUCAAGUGUAUGUUGUUCACAUUCUCUCUCAGAGAUGCUGCUAAGGACUGGAACUAUUCUUUGCCAUCAAGAUCAUACACUUGGGAUGAUAUUUCGCAAGCUUUCCUGCAUAGAUAUUUUCCACUUUACAAGCAAGCUGCAAUUCGUGACCAGAUCCUCAGUUUUGUGCAAGAUGGAAGUGAGAGCUUGUAUGAAGCUUGGGAGAGAUAUAAUUAUUUGCUUAGAAAAUGUCCUAAUCAUGGGCAAAAGGAUUGGUUAGUGCUUCAGAUAUUCUAUAGAGGGCUAACACAUGCUUCAAGAGAUCUUAUUGAUAUGUCAGCUGGUGGAACAAUCAUGAACAAUACCGUUGAGGGUGCAAUUAUUCUCAUUGAGAGCAUUGCCUUCCACCAAAUGCAAUGGGGUUAUGAAAGGCCUAGUUCAAAUCCAAAGGUUGCAAGCUGUGUGCAAUCAGAAGCUGUGUGUUCCAUAAGUGAACAGAAAUCAUCCAUGGUACCUAAUAUUCAAAACCAGCAUGUUUCAUUCCAGGGACAACAACAUUUCAGAACUGAAUUAGAGCCUCCAUAUAGAAACAUUGAUCUUACUUCAAUUAUCCUUGAUGAUGAUUAUGAUAUUUUCCAAGAUGAUGCAACCACUGUAGAUCAGAUGGAUACCACAGUAGCAGAUCCAAUACCUCAUGGAAAUGAAACUGUUCAGAAUGAGUCAAAGUUGCAAGAAGAGGUUUAUGAGGAACCUACUCUGUUUGACGCUAAGUUGAGACCGCAAGAUAUGGAGAAAUUCACUUGUGUUAGUCAGCUAUCUCACUGGUGGAAUUUAGUCAUGUCACCAAUUGCCCACACUUGUGUUACAACUGUAUCUGGACUAUUUGUCAAGAAGAAAUCAUUAGCUCCACCAGUGGUUACCUCUAUCACAGUUAAAGAGAGUAUCUCAGAGAGGAAUAGUGAAGAUGAGAUUCCAACUCCUACACAUACAAUUAAGCAAGUCGGAGACAUUCCAAGGAGAGAGAUACAAGAGGUUGAGUCAAAUUUAGAAGAGCUGAUACUUCAAUAUCCUGAGAAGAUCCCAUGUGUUGCUGAGCUGCAUGACAGGUGGAAGUCAUCGGUGUCACUGUUGAAACUUAGCAAUGAUGGUGAUGAGGAGAACAUUGCUCAGAAAGACAGUGAGGUAGUGAUCUCAGCACCCCUAGCAGAUCAUGUUAGUGAAUAUUCACAGAUGGGGACACUACAGACUCAAUUAAGUGUUGCUGGUAGUAGCACCAUAUAAGAUCCAGAGGAAGAGAGACCUCAGAUUGAAGAUGUACUCGAAGCCAAGGCACAAGAUGAUCUACUACUCUUGAAGAAGCAAAAGAAGCUGUUGUAGAUGAACUUGAAGAACCAAAAAUUCAUUUGCCUAUUGUCACACAAGAGCGUGAUGUAGCAGGUUUAUCUAAUCCUCUUAAUGACAUGUCUUCAUAUGAUUUGUUUGCUACUACCUUGCAUUGCAUGAUGCCAUCACUUAAGGUAGAUUUGAAAAACUAUUUGCUUGGACAUGAUCAUACACACCCUGUUAGUGGCAUUGCUCAUAUCUCUGUUCAUGCUACUUAUGUUCCUAAUGCUAUACCCAUGCUUAAUGAAACGUGUGAUUCUAAUACUAGCAUUGAGCUUACUGAUUUGUACCAUCCUAAACAUGUGCUUUAUAGCUAUGCUUAUGUAAUUGGAUAUUCGAUUGAUGACUUGGAGGGUAUUAUCCCUACCACUUGCAUUGUCUCUUUCGUUGCGUGCUCUUUCAGGAUCUUGCUUGUGCAUGAAUGACUACAUGCUGACCAAGUUCGAGAUGACAUUCCCUGGGACCCCGAUGGACCCAUGGCAUGGGGAUGAGGAGAAGCAAGGAGCACACAUGAAGAGAGAAGCUAGAGCAGACAUGAGGAUAGGGAAGCAAAAGGAGAGGAGUCACAAUGCACGAGGAAGCAAAGGAGAAGAGUUGCAGUUUAGAGAGUGUCGAGCGAGUGCUACUUCCUAUAAAAACCCGGUGAGCUGUUUCAUGACCCAUUCCAAGUAUAUCAUCCAUUGAUACAUGCUGAAGUCAAAUGUUUUUUGGGUCGCUUGAGCAAUUUCUUAAAUAUCGUCCCACUGAAUUUUACCUUCGACAUAGGGUUAUUGAUGUGAAUAUAUGAAGUGAGUGUUGAAUGCCUUGUAAACUAGUGAUCUACACAAUGCUAUUUUUGCUGAAAUUAGUGAAAGCUAUUAGUUUUGAGUGCUCAAAUCCCUAGUACACUAGAAAACUUAAUCAUUUUCUGCUUUUACCUCGAUACACCUAGAUCAUUAAGUGUCAGAUGCUGAGUUUGUGCCUAAUGUGUUCCCAUUGAGAGAAAUCACCUAACCACUAUGGAUUAGCAUGCUAUGUUCCCUGGAUCGGUAGCAUGUGAACCAGACAUGGAGAAGUGAUGAUUCCUAUUUUUGUGCUUAUGCGUUGUUCAUUUAAGAUAAGUAAUAAUAAAUAAAUAAGUCUGACUACCUACAAUAGCAUGUCAUGUUCCCGGGAUCGGUGGCAUGUGAAAUCGGGUUAGCUUGGGCAGUAAUUAAUAAUAAAAAAAUGUAAUUGUCGAACCAGGUGUAUACCAUGUUCUUGGGAUCGGUGGUAUGUUCCUUUGGGGAGACAAACAAAAAAACUAAUAAUUGGUCGAUCCAGGUGUAUACCAUGUUCUUGGGAUCAGUGGUAUGUUCCUUUGGUGAGAUGGAUAAAAUAUUAUCAUUGCUUCCUUCAAAUUCAAUAAGUGGUUCAACCACAAUGUUCCUGGUAAUAAGUGAUCUGAUCACAAGUUUAAGUUCCUUUUAUUUUUUUGGAUCAUGCUCUCUUUAGGAACCAUUUGGCGCAGUCAUCAUUUAAACUUGUUGAUCCUCUUUUAUCAUUCUAAAAGUUUAAAAUGGUCAUGCUUACUAGUAUCCUACUGCUUUGUAGCACUCUUAACCAUCAAUUUUCACUAGCUAAGUCCAAAAGCAUGCAUUGUUUAGAGAUCUACUUCACUUGGACAUUCUUUACUCAGUUCACUGUUCACAUUCUUGCUCUUGUCAUAUGCCUUUGCUUGAGGACAAGCAAAGAUUUAAGUGUGGGGGAACUUGAUAAGUAUAUUUCACAUAUAUAAUUUGGGUACUCAAAUAUAGCAUCUAUCGUGACAUAUUCGUCCAUUCUUGCCAUGAUUGAUUGAAUGUUGCUUGAUAAUCAUCAGAAAGGAUCAUUUACUAGUCUUUGGUCUAUCUUGCAGAAAUGUGCGCAAAGGCACUAAUAAUCGUCAAGAUUCCGUCUAUGUGGCUAUCGACAAGAGUGAAGAAGAGAAGAGAAGGAAGAAGAGACUUGUGUGAGAUGAAGAGAAGUAAUUAGGGGGCUAGAUAAAGAAGUGGGAGGACCUUCUUGUUAAGAAAGAAGAGAAGAAAGAGGGACAAAUCACAAAGUGCAGAUGAGAGGAGGGGAACAAAAUCCCUAUGCGCCUGGAGGGAUCCGAUGAGGCCUGGCAUAUCCAUCUCCCCUCUCACCCAACUCCUUCUCCACCUCCGGCUGCUGCUGCGGCCAGGCCGGUGUGGCGGCGCGCCAUCCAUUCACCAGCACCACCAUCGCCUCCUGCCACCACUCCACCACGCACCACCAGCACCACCAUCCAUCGUCCACACGCCUCCACCAGCACCGCCACCAGCGCCCACCUCGCGCACCCCUCCUUCUUCCUCUCGACCUCCUGCUGCUGCCUUCUCUUCUUCCACGCAACCUGCUUCUGCUCCUUCUUCCUAUGCGCCCCUGCUGCUCUUCUUGCUAAAGCCCUUUCCCCUCACCACGCUGUUGUUCCUUCUUGUUCCCCUUGCUGCUACUAUUUCUCUUCUUCCCUCGCAUCUAGCUGCUGCUCCUAGUUCUUCUCUGAACCCAAACUGCUGCUGCUUCUCUCCUCUCUUACUUCUUGCAAAUUUCUGAAAACUGCUAGGUGAACCUUGUGUACUGUUCUGAACAAUUAAUUUGUGCCUUGAGAUGCUUAUGUAAUAUUCAGAUUUGAAGUGUACUUGCAACCUGCUGUUUGCUCUGUUUAAGUACUUGUACAAUAUAGUGUAUGUGUUCUGAGAUCUGACUAGUUGAGGCUUUGUUACUUUGAGAGAUACUUGAUCUAUUAUAUUUUGGUUCUGUGAAUUAGUAUUCUGCUAUUAUAUGUGUGUGUGUGUGUGUGUGUAAUUCAUCAUAAAUAUUGUUGUGUGCUGAUGAUUAGUGUCCAGUUUACUAUUCUUGUGACAUAUACACAUAUGUAUGUGUUAUGUUCAUGUCCUUUUUACUUCUCUUGUCAUUGAUGUUAGCUUGUGUUAGUAUCUUAAUUUCUCAAGAAUUACAAAAGUACCAAAAAGAAAGUUAGUAAAAUCUGUAUCUACCUUUGCUUAUCCGCAUUUUCAUUGGCG
rnacentral:lncRNA from 1 species